rnacentral:sRNA from 1 species
AAAAAGAAUCAAAAACUGGAAUACAAAUAUUCCAAGUUAGUAAUGACGACUAACUCAAAAGAGUGUGAACUCCCGGCUGCAGACAGUUGUGCUAUCAUGGAAGGAGAAGAUAAUGAAGAGGAAGUUGUAUAUUCCAAUAAACAGUCACUACUAGGAAAACUCAAAUCUUUGGCAACCAAGGUGAGAGUAGAAUUUUAACCUGGUGUUACUGGGUGUUUAUAAAGUAGGGGGCAUAUUAACCUAAUAAUAGCAUUCACGCAAGCUGUUAUUUUGCAUGUUUAUAUCUCAGUGGGUAUUUAACCAACAGAAAUACUCUUAGAAGCACAUGAUAUAGAUACAAUAAUAUUCACUGCAGCAUUGUUUUCGUUGGUUGUCAAACAUCAUCAGUAAGGAGUUAGAUAUUUUCAUCUGUCAAAGUGAUAGAAUACUAUGCAACUCUGCAGCUGUUAAAGAUUGAGAUAGCUAUGUGUACUGAUAAAUCAAUAGGUCCAAGAUAGAGUGAAAACAAAUGGACUAUUGUAUUUAUAUUAAAUAUACAUUUAUGUUUGUAUUUGCAUAGCAAACUGUUAACAGUGGCUGCCUUUUGGGAAUAGUGAACUAAUGAGAGUGUUUAGUCUUUGAAAGCAAUACAUUUUUGUGAUAUUGGAAUUUUCACAAAGAUACUAUUUUAUAAUUUAAAAAUGGGGGCUAAUAAAAGAUAUUACAUUCA